UGUUGAUGGGACAUCCUUGCGUGCACUUAGCACGGAUGGAGGGGGCGUACUGCGAGAGCUGAGCAGUGACCACACUGCGGCACAGCUGCAGCACCUGCUCGUCCGACAGCCCGGGACCCUGAAGGCAACAUUUGGUCACGACUCACGAUGGGACCUUGAAUUCCUUUGGAUCCGGCUAGGCCUCUGGCGCCAGGGUCUCCGAGAGGGCCGCGGGUACCUCGGCUUCCCGGGAUACCGGGAGGACCCGCGGGGCCGGGAUUGCCGGCCCGACCGACCGCACCUUUGGGACCACGCUGGGCAGACGAAGGAGACAAAAGACAAUUGUGCAGUGACAAAAAUAAAUGAAUAAACGAUACAUAUAUUUUCCGCCAAAAA